rnacentral:rRNA from 1 species
GACGAACCGUGCGAACGUUAUUCGGAAUCACUGGGCUUAAAGGGCGCGUAGGCGGGCUCGUUAGUCAGGGGUGAAAGCCCACGGCCCAACCGUGGAAGUGCCUUUGAUACUGCGAGCCUCGAGGGGGAUAGGGGCGUGCGGAACUCAGGGUGGAGCGGUGAAAUGCGUAGAUAUCCUGAGGAACACCGGUGGCGAAAGCGGCG